GUCAGAAUUUGUGAAUAUGCAUUAGGUAUCAGUUACCUGCUUGGUCUUUGGCCAGAAACAGUUUAUCUGACCAAAGACAGCUUAAAGAUGAUCACCAGAUGAGGCAACAUUAGUCCAGAAAAUACAUUAGACCCAUUAUUUUUGUUCUCCACAAGUUUAAAGGGAUAAUCCAGACAUGGACCCCUUGCUCACGGUGCCAAGGGAGAUUUCAG